rnacentral:rRNA from 1 species
GAACUCAGGAGAAGGAACUCGGCAAAUUGACACCGUAACUUCGGAAGAAGGUGUGCCCUAUUAGUGUGAAGUGAACAACGGAGCAUGAAUGGGUUGCAAAAAAUCGGUGGCUGCGACUGUUUAUUAAAAACACAGCACUCUGCAAACACGAAAGUGGACGUAUAGGGUGUGACGCCUGCCCGGUGCUGGAAGAUUAAAUGAUGGGGUGCAAGCUCUUGAUUGAAGUCCCAGUAAACGGCGGCCGUAACUAUAACGGUCCUAAGGUAGCGAAAUUCCUUGUCGGGUAAGUUCCGACCUGCACGAAUGGCGUAACGAUGGCCACACUGUCUCCUCCUGAGACUCAGCGAAGUUGAAAUGUUUGUGAUGAUGCAAUCUCCCCGCGGAAAGACGGAAAGACCCCAUGAACCUUUACUGUAGCUUUGUAUUGGACUUUGAACAGAUCUGUGUAGGAUAGGUGGGAGGCUUUGAAGCAGGGUCGCUAGAUCUUGUGGAGCCAACGUUGAAAUACCACCCUGGUGUGUUUGAGGUUCUAACCUAGGUCCAUUAUCUGGAUCGGGGACAGUGCAUGGUAGGCAGUUUGACUGGGGCGGUCUCCUCCCAAAGCGUAACGGAGGAGUUCGAAGGUACGCUAGUUACGGUCGGACAUCGUGACGAUAGUGCAAUGGCAUAAGCGUGCUUAACUGCGAGACUGACAAGUCGAGCAGAUGCGAAAGCAGGACAUAGUGAUCCGGUGGUUCUGUAUGGAAGGGCCAUCGCUCAACGGAUAAAAGGUACUCUGGGGAUAACAGGCUGAUACCGCCCAAGAGUUCAUAUCGACGGCGGUGUUUGGCACCUCGAUGUCGGCUCAUCUCAUCCUGGGGCUGUAGCCGGUCCCAAGGGUAUGGCUGUUCGCCAUUUAAAGAGGUACGUGAGCUGGGUUUAAAACGUCGUGAGACAGUUUGGUCCCUAUCUUCCGUGGGCGCUGCAGAUUUGAGGAAGCCUGCUCCUAGUACGAGAGGACCGGAGUGGACACACCUCUGGUGUAUCGGUUGUCACGCCAGUGGCAUUGCCGAGUAGCUAAGUGUGGAAGAGAUAACCGCUGAAAGCAUCUAAGCGGGAAACUCGUUUCAAGAUGAGAUCUGCCGGGGCCUUGAGCCCCCUGAAGAGUCGUUCAAGACCAGGACGUUGAUAGGUCAGGUGUGGAAGCGCAGUAAUGCGUUAAGCUAACUGAUACUAAUUGCUCGUGCGGCUUGACCCU